AUCGAUGAAGAACGCAGCGAAAUGCGAUAAGUAAUGUGAAUUGCAGAAUUCAGUGAAUCAUCGAAUCUUUGAACGCACAUUGCGCCCUUUGGCAUUCCAUAGGGCAUGCCUGUUCGAGCGUCACUAACAACCCCAUCACAAAGAGUGUGGUAUUGGCAGAAGUGGGUAGGGCUGGCAGUGUUGGCCCCACUCUGCUGGAAUGAAUCGGCCGGAAAUGUAGACCAUGAUAACAGACUUUCAGAGUAUCCCCCUGAUGCUAAAUUAGUUUGUAGGCUGGUCAGAAUCCAGGCCGUUGGACCCCCAAUCUGUGUAAAGCAGUAAUGUUGACCUCGGAUCAGGUAGGGAUACCCGCUGAACUUAAGCAUAUCAAUAAGCGGAG
rnacentral:rRNA from 1 species